AAACAAGAUUUUCAGGUUAACUCAGAAUCUUCCAGAAGAUGGAAGGGACCCACAUGUCUUAGCCCCAGGCACUGCAGGGCCACCAGCCUUUUCUGCAGCAUCCUCGAGAGAUGCUGCUGCUGCGGUGCUGAUGUUGCUUCUGGGUUUCCCCUGUGCCUGCUGCCUGGCUGUUCUGGGCAGUGCUGGGGAAGGAAGAGGGCUCAGCACCCCAGUGUGGCCCGCUCGGGUGACUGUGACCGGUGACUGAGCUCCCAGCAAAGAUGCUGAUGACUCUGAAGCUGAGAACAAACCCUGAUGCUCCUAGUUCUGCAAAAACAACCUGUGCCUCCUUGCACGCCGAAUCCCCGCCCCCGCCCCCAGCACCAAGUUCCCUUAUCUCGCCGCACAAUCCUUCAAAGAAUAACACAGCGUAUUUGUGUCUGCGGUUUGGGUUCCCCAAACCUGUGACAUCAGAUAAGUGCAAUGUUCACAAAAACGAACAACAUCGCAGAGAGGGGGAAAAACAACAGAAAAGAAGCCCCUGGUCUCAGCCCCGGUUUCCUCUCCGGGAAGGGGGCGCUAUCUGGCUGAGGUUUCAGGGUGCAGAGGCUGGGGGCUGGGGAGUGACGUCCUGCCCUCUCCCCAGGUGGCUCCCAUCUCAGCCUUCAGUUCUCCCCUGCAACACGGAAACGGUAACCUCCACCUCUCAGGGCUGCUCUUGAAAAGCGAUUUUUAAAAAAUACCAAUGAUCGCUGAUCUUGGCCCGAUUUUCUUGGAUAGUUUCACCCUCACACGGGGUGGCUACUAAGGUCAUCUCUGGUUUACAGACUGGGACACUGAGGCUUCGAGUAGGAAAAGGAGGUGGUUCUAAAACAUGCAAACAUGUAAAACGGAAAUAAAAAUGUUUAACCAUAUAAAUAUAAAAGUAUAAUUAGGCAAAAAAAGUUUGGCAUAAUAUACCCUGUAAUGUCACAGUGAUUUUCCACAAUGUCACUGUGUCAGGAUUGCCAGGGAGGCAGGGGUCCCACGGCUGUCUCUUUUCCAUCACUCAGGUGUUAGCAAAACGUCACCUGUGCGGAACUUCUCCCCGAGCCGCUGUCUCUGGGGGGUCGCCUGGGCUCUCGCCCACCACCUACUUCACCUCCUCUUGCAUAGUCAUCGCAGGAAUGUCCGUUGGUUUCUCACCUGUUUCUGGGUUUAUCGCCUCUGUUUCCCACUAGAGCGUGAGAUCUGUGGAGCUGUAACCCACCCCUGUGUGUCCCACCCACAGGUCCUUGAGGAGUGACUGACACUUGUGGGCUGACCCUAGUGGGCCUCAAGAGAUAUUCCGUGACCAACUGACUGUGUUUUCUUCUUCUUAUUUUUAAACAUUUUCUUUUUCAAAAACAAGCCAUCCAGAUCAUCUUUAAUUGCUGUUUAGGAGCUGUUCAGAAGUGAGCUGGCUGGCGCCCCUGCAGGAAAACAUAACCUCCACGGGCUUAUCUGACCGAGAGUGAAGGAAGUGGGUACCCUGCCUUUCCACAGGCGAGGUCAAGCGGCGAACAUCCCACAGUUUCUCAGCCCAGCCUGCCUGAGGUCCCUGGCCCUGGAGAUCUCUCCGCCUGGGACAGGGUUAUCUUUGACGGACAGUGUGUUCACACCCCCCCCACUCCCCACCCCCAGGGUGAGGCUGCCCUGAAUCACAGGGGUCAACGGGGGCCCUGGGCCAAGGACAGCCCACGGGAGGUGUUUCUUAGCCUACACAGUUCCAGCAUCUUGGAAUUUCGCCAUCGUUUUAAAAAUGGAGAGACCUGGGAAAGAAACUAAAGCAUCUUCCCAAAGGCUAGGAAAUAAGAUGAGAAUGAAUAGGCAGGAAGACUUCACAUCCUUCAAAUGACAAUUCUGCCAACAUCUAUAAACUUAAUGUAAUUUCACGUAGUGACCCACAGCAUGUUUUAACUGGAUAAAACCGUCUUGGAGCUUACAAGGAAAAGUAUGAAAUUGAAGAACGGUGGGAAAGACUAUGAAACAGGUGGUAUUCCAACUCACUGGGAAAAUGGAAUGUUGAAUUCAGGAUGCCAGCAUAGCGCACUAUCAAUUUAUUUUAUUUAUCGCUAAAGUAAAAAUAGACUCUCAUAUUCCACUCUAUUAAAAAAAAAAAAACUAGAGAUUUCACGUAAAAUAUCUGGAAUUCUGGCUGGCCUAAAAACUCUGGCAACUCUGGGUGCUUCUUUCCCCAAAGCAGUCAUGGGCUGGUGCUGAGUUAAGACUUGGGGGCUCUCCAAUUCACCACAGUCCCCACCACGCCCUGCUGCCUCCAACCCCCCCCCCCCCCGCCGCCCCCGGCUGCCUUCAAUCCCUUGUGUGUCUUGCCUGGGCACUGAAGUUGCUGGCGUUUGUAGCCCCUAAACUCAGGGCUGGGCGCAGCAGAGACACUCAAGGAACACUGGAGGUUGGAGUUCUGCCGUUAGCCACCUUUGCACUCAUGUCAUUUUUCUUGGUGAAAAUACAGUUUUAGAGGAAGGAUGUGGCUCAAGAGCCUGGACCUGGGAGUCAGAAUCCUGAGCGACCUCUGAAGAGUGACUUCCCCUCUUAGUGCCUCAGUGUCCUCCUCUGCCAAGAGGAAUAGUAAGAGCUGUCACUUAUCAUUUGCAGGAAUCCUUGCCAUUGUUCCUGUAAAAUGCUCAGCCCUGGGCUCUGUGCAGAGUCACGCCAGGGAAAUGAGAACAAACCCUCCCUUUCAAAUGUAGGGUUUUUAGUUCGCAGGCUUCUAAGGGAGACCAGGAACGGAGGAAGAAAGGAAGGAGGAGCUGGACAGCACAGAGGAUUUGCUUUGAUCUCCUUUUGCUGAAAAGGAGGGAAAGAAGUAAACAAACAGUCCUGGUCUCCUCUAAUUCCACUGCUACCCAGAGAGCUUGGGAGCUGAUAAAAACUGGCCAGAUUUAAUUCGGGCAGCCCCACCUUCCCGACUGGCCUUUUCCUGGGCGCUUGAAAACUGUGACCCCAAAGCCUGUCCCAGUACCCUGCCCACAGCAUCCAUCUUUCCUCCCCUUCUUGCUCUCCGCAGCAACAGAGACUCAAUGGGGAGACAGAAGAAAGACUUCUCCACCUGGAACUCCACACAAGAGAUUAGCAAAGGGGCUUGGGAGGGGCCUCUGAACACAUUAGCAACCCAGGCCCUGAUCCCAGGAGGGAGCCCUCACUAGGGGACUAAUGGGACAUGAAACCCUCAGGCAUUGAGAAUGAACGGGACAGAAGGAGGGGGAAACUGGGGAGAAGAGCAGAAAGAUCUCACCCAGCAGUUGGUGGAAAGAAGCCGCAUGGACAGGGUUCACAGCUGGUUUGUCCAUGGUUGCGUGGCUUUGGGCAAGUGACUUCACCCCACCUGGCCUCGGUUUCUGCGUCAGCUCAGGCACCUGUCUCAUUAACCCUUAAAUUGUUAAGGGUUAAAUGAAAUCAUGCCUAGUAAGUGCCUGGCACAUAGUAGGUCCAAUAACUGGACACUGUUAUGGUAAAGUGGCUCAGGGAAUCCCAGGACAGCCUCAGGUGGAGAGAUGGAAAAAUGCCCAGACUUCGAGUCCAGAAAGAUGAAAGAGGAGCCGUUGUUUGCAGUCUCUCAAGGCGCCAAGGGCCAUGCAGUCAACAAGGUCCGGAACUAGGUCCUGUUUGAUGUUGGGAAGAGGUAAUUCGGGACAGAGUUUCGCACAAAGAGAAGACGUUUCCUUCACGUUACCUCCGAGGUUAAUGCUUCAGAGCUUCCCUAGGGGCUGCUAAGUAGCUAGAGGUUAAGGUAGAGGGCUGAGAGAAUAGUCUCUGAGGUCAGGGGUUCCUUCCCAACACAGCUCCUUCCUAGCUAAGUGAUCGGUGGGCCUGGCCUCAGUUUCUUCACCUUUAAAAUGAGAGCCAUAAUAACAUCCGCCUCUAGAUUUUGAAGAUAGAAUGAAUGGCUUUCAGUUGGUGCUCUGUGAAUGAGCGGAAGUCAAGAGUCACACCUGUGUUAGGGACAAAGUGACAAAAGCAAGCAUCGGUGGAGGAAAGGAAACAGCCUGUGGUUCUCACUUGUAAGCCCCAGGCCCAGUUCCACAUGAGCAGCUCCUCUAUGGCCACUGGAGGGCUUGCCCUGUUUUGUGCAGUGCCUAGUCCCCAGGGCCACAACAGUGCCUGGCACACAUCAGGGAUUUGUUCAAAGAAUAUGUGAAACCAGAUACCCUGUGGAGUGGAGGCAACCUCCACAAGAGAAAAGGAAGGCACAGAGAGGCCAGGUAACUUGUCCAAGGUCACACAGCAACCUGCCCACCUGGAGUCACAGCUGGGCCUGGGCCUGAACUGAUCUGGACUUGGUCUGACCUUGCUCUACUCUUGCUCUCUUCAAAGCCCACUGCUCCCUUCUUGCCCACCUCCUGCCCAGGCUUCCUCUACCUGGCAGAGCCAGCUCAGGGAGCUCCUUCAGGCUUCUCCAUGGACAGUCCAGCAUCACUUCCCUCAGUAAGGAUGCACCUUCCCUUCUGUCCCUGGCAGGCCAGCCAUCAAGAGCUCCCAGCCUAUGGGCCUCAUCUGGCCUCAGACGUGUUCUGUGUGACCUCACACUCAGUGUGGAUGUGUGCCUGUGUGUAGGGGUUUUUUCCAUCAUAAUUUUGAGUCACUUGCCAACCUUUAAAAACUGGAGAUUUGUCGGAGUUUCCAUUGUGGCUCAGUGGCAACAAAUCUGACUAGAAUCCAUGAUGAUGUGGGUUUGAUCCCUGGCCCCACUCAGCAGGUUAAGGAUCUGGCAUUGCCGUGAGCUGUGGUGUGGGUUGCAGACACAGUUUGGAUCCCACGUUGCUGUGGCUAUGGUGUAGCCUGGCAUCUGUAGCUCCAAUUCAACCCCUAGCCUGGGAACUUCCAUAUGCUGCACAUGAGGUCCCCAAAAGCAAAAAACAAACAAACAAAAACCUGGAGAUUUCACAUCAAAAUUAGGUUUUCUAGCUUCUUUUGGAAAAUGAACAGCUCUGGCCAUCUGGGCUCUGGCCAUCUGGGCUCACCUCUCCUCUGGCCAGCUGGAGUCGUGUUCUGAGCCCCAGGUCCAGGUCUGGCACACCUCACUCACCUCUGAGCCAGCCCUCCCUCCCUGGGGCCUCCUCACAUAAAGACCCCAGACUUGCCAUGAGAGACCCAGGCCCCCUGCGCUCCCCGCCAUUAUGCCGGGCCUCCUCUCAUCCUUGGACCUGCAGCCUGGGGUGCUUCCAGCAAAAGCCAAAGAGGUUGGGGCAGACCUGGAUUCCAGGUUAAUAGUGGCUCCCCCAAAGACGUCCACGUCCCAAUUCCCAGAACCCGUAAUUAUGGCACCUUACAUGACGAAAGGGACUUUGUAGAUGAUAAAGUUCAGAAUGUCGAGAUGGGAAGAUUAACUUAGAUUAUCCAGUAGGCUUAAUAUAACCGCGAGGGUCUUUAUAAGAGGGAGACGGGAGGGUUGGAGUCAGAGGAGAUGUGAUGACGGAAGCAGAGAUUGGGGUGAUGUAAGCCCAGGAAUGGGGAGACAUCUAGAAGCUGGAAAAGGCAAGGAAUGGAGCCUGGAAUGGAGCCCCGUGUUCAAUUUUAGCCUUGGGAGACCUAUUUUGGACUUCUGACCUUCAGAACCAUAAGACAAUAAAUUUAUGUUGUGUUAAGCCACUAAAUGUCACGUAAUUUGUUACAGUAGCAACGGGAAACUUAGAACCAGGUUUGAGUCCUAGUAUGGCUACUUAAUUGGCUGUGUGCCCUUGGGCAGGUGACUUACUAUUGCUGAGUUGGGGUUUCCCUGUCUGGAAAGGGGUAACAAGGGAGCUCCCUCUGGCAUGUUUGUGAGAGUUAAGUCAACAUCACAGGUGAGGUGCCGAGCACAGCCGACAGCUCCCGAUGCCAGAUCUUCUAGCAUCAACCCCACAUCUCCGUGUCAUCCAGACCAGCUCAGAGCAGGUUUAAAAAUCUGUCCACUGCUACCAAGCCCUCAAGGAUAAAGUCCAAACUUCUCCCUUAUAGCCUGGAAUAACCCAUCUUACCUAAUAAUAAUAAUGUUGCUAGUACUUAUAAAGCAUUUGCCAUGUGCCAGGCAGGAUUCUAAGUGCUAACUGUAUAUUAAAGUCAUUUAACACUCCAAUAACCCUAUUGUUUUCCUCAGUCUUCAGGUGGGGAAACUGAGGCCAAGGGGAUAAAAUCACAUGGCCAGGGUUCCUUAAGAGGUGGAAGCUCAGCCAGUGUUUGAACCUACACUGUUGGGCCCUGGGCAGGGCUGUCUCCGUAUAUGAACAGACCAGGGAGUAGCAGGAAGGCCCAGAGCAUGGCUCAUGACUCAGUAAUCACAGUGUCCCCUCCACCCACCACCUGUCCCCGGUGCAAUCCUGGACUCAAGGCUCUGGGGGUCUCAGCUCCUGACUCACAGCUGUACCCAAGAGUGUGUUUGUUCCCCAGUUUCCAGCAGUGCCCGCUAUGGGCUGGAGACUGUGUACCAGAGAAAAUGCAGACCCUCCACUGCCCCUAAGAGCCUGAGAACAGGUGGAUAUACAACUGUCACAGCUUAGCAAGAGGCAUCAGGAGCUGGGAGGUGGGGAGGCUGCCCCAAGGAGGGGCCCGAGGAAGUGUGACACUGGCCCAGAGAGAAGACUGGGCAGAGUGUUCCAAAGGAGGGAAUGCUCCGGAGGACCCCGCAGAGAGGAGCCCGUGGGCUCAGGGAUGGUUUGGGGUCUCAUUUGGCUGGAGUGCGGUGGGAGGGCUUGACCGCUCACUGUCCUGCAGCCUUGGGCAGCCCACAUCUGGGCCUCGGUGUCCUCCUCUGUAAAGUGGGAGCAAUAGUAGUAGCUGCACACAAAGAUCAGGGCCUGCAUGGGGCUGGCUGCAUGGGCGUGAAUCAGUGCUGCUGCUGAGAUUAUUAGGAGCUGCCCAACCUGUCCACUUCUUCCCCCUGCAGUCAGCUCUUCAGAUGGAGGAGGCCCUGGCACCCUCACAUGCACGUUCACAGCGAUGACCCGGGAGGUCAGAUGUCAUGCCUAGAGGCGGGUACUCCCAGCACCCUCGUCUCAGAACUCCAGAACCAGGGCCCACUGUCCCCAUGUUCCCCAGCUUCCAGGAGCCACAGGCCCUGGCUUUGCCCCUCCAGAUCCCUCCAGUUCUUCUGUGUGUAGCAUUUGUCUUUCUCUCCUUUGACUCACUUUAACUUUCUCCACAUCUUGGCCAAUCCUGUUUGUGAGUCACAUUUGAUCUUUGAGUUUCUCUUUUUUCAAAGGCACAUUAAGACAGUGAGAAGCGCUAAGCAUUUUUGAGCACUUGCUAUGUGCCUGGCGUUUCCAUUCAUUCAUUCAUUCCCUCAUCCCAUUUAUUCAACAAAUAGCCAUGAGCACCUCCAUGGGCCUUGAUGUUCAUCAUUAAACCACCAAGCUUCCUGCCUAGUGAAGCUCAUGUUGCAGGGAUGAGGGAGAGGAACAGAUAAAUAAAACUUCCAAGUCUACAACCUGUUUUGUGUAAAUACAAACUCACUAAAGCACAACAACAACCCUAUGAAAUAAAUGUUUAGCCCCAUAUUCCAGUUGAGAAAACAAAGGCUCAGAGAAGGAAAGUCACUUGCCAAAAGUCACACAGCUAGGAAAUGGCUAAAGUCAAGGUCAGAAUUUGAACUCACACCAGUCAGACUCCAGCACUCCAGCUUUGAACCUCCGCAGGAGACUGUCCACUAAGAUAAAAGCCAUUGGCCCAAUUUCAUCAGCAGUGCAUUUGGGAAGCAUCACAGCAUCCCAGGUUGGGGGUAUUAGUGUCCGGGGGCUCAGCUCAUUCCCAUAAGGCAGGAUGAGCACUGCCCUCCCUUCUAGUAGCCUCUAAAGGGGAAGGCCAAUACACGGUCAUUCUCUGGCCAGAGCCGGUGGGAACAGGACGUCCUGGUCCUCUCGCCCUGGCCAGGCCCAGUGAGCUAUUUUGGGGCACGUUUAUUGAUGGGACACGGGUGCCCAGCUGGACUCCUGAUUCAAGAGGAAGGCCGCAGAAGGGCUGAGGGUGGCUCUGCUCCUCUCCGCCCUGCACUGCAGCGGGGCAGCCAUCACCCGUGGCCUGUCCACACCCCAGGCCCAGGGUGUAUCCUGAGCUGGCUGGCUCCAGGAAAGGCAGGCGUCCCUCCUGGAGUGCAGAGAUACUGGCGGUCAUGUGGGUGACUGUUUCCUCAAACCCUGGAGCCUGAUUCGAUUCACAGGAGGCAGAACCCAGAAACAAUACAAGAAUGAGGUCAGACGCAGGUUCAAAGCCCAUCUGUGUUCCUGUAUGACAACUUUACCUUUGGAAAACCAAGUCAGCUCUCAGAGGCUCAGUUUCUCUGUGUUUAAAAUGGAGUCAAUAAUAACCGUCCCUCACAGGGAGAAAUGAGGCUUAAAGUAGAGAGGAUGUAUACCGCCCAGCCUGGCAUACAGGAGUGCUCAGUAAUUUAUAGUAACUUUGCAAAUAAUGAUUGACAGCUGACACUGACCGAGAGUUUGGGCACGAGCUAGGCUCUGGGCUCAAUGAUUGAUCUGUUUUAUCUCUUUUCAUCCCCCAACAAUUCCAGGAGGCUGGGGAGAGACACUGUUACAGGUGCCACUGUUAUCCCUUUGAACAGAUAAGGAAAUUGAGGCUCAGGAAGAUAAGACUUGCUCAAGAUCACACUGCAAAUAUGAAGCAGAAAAACUUGUCUUUGAACUCAGAUCUGAAGGACAGGGGACAGGGCAGGCCCUGAACCCCAGGGUCACACCCCACGUCCCCCACGUCUGUACUUACGAGAUUGGCUACAAAGGUCCUGUAAACACCUGAGUUCCCGCUGUGCUGUGUUCACCUCAGUCAUCCCUCAGUCUCGGGAAGGGACCUCCUGGCCCCUCCCCCUGAUGAGAAUCCAUAAACCAAAGGUUCUAGAACAUUCCUUUGGGAAUUCCUUUGGUGGCUCAGGGGCUUAAAGAUCUGGCAUCGUUGCUGCUGUGGCUCGGGUCACUGCGGUGGCACAAUUUCGAUCUUUGGCCCAGGGAAUGUCCACAGGCUGUAGACUCGGC
rnacentral:lncRNA from 1 species